CGCAUCUGUGCAUGCAGCAUAUCAAUAAGCGGAGGAAAAGAAACUAACAAGGAUUCCCCUAGUAACGGCGAGUGAAGCGGGAAGAGCUCAAAUUUGAAAUCUUAAAGGGUUUCCCUUUACGAAUUGUAGUUUAAAGAGGUGUUUUCUGUUGAGGUUUUGGUAAAAGUUCUUUGGAAUAGGACAUCAUAGAGGGUGAGAAUCUCGUAUUUGACCUUUACUUUCAACUUUGUGAUACACUUUCAAAGAGUCGGAUUGUUUGGGAAUGCAGUCCAAAAUGGGUGGUAAAUUUCAUCUAAAGCUAAAUAUUGGCGAGAGACCGAUAGCGAACAAGUACCGUGAGGGAAAGAUGAAAAGAACUUUGAAAAGAGAGUUAAACAGUACGUGAAAGUUGUCAAAAGGGAAGCGUUUGACACCAGUGUUGUUUUUCUGAAAAUCAAUUAAAGAACUGUUUAUGCUAAGUUGUUUAGACUUUAUCAGCUAUCUGUUUAGUUUUAGGCUUUUCUUUAAUGCACUUUUCAGUUAACAAGUCAACAUCAAUUUCUUUUGCUGUAAAAAAGCUUGAGGAAGGUGGCUUGAGAUUCGUCUUAAGUGUUUAUAGCCUCUUGCCUAUGCAGUCGGAGAGAUUGAGGUCUGCAGCGUAGAUCCUUCGGGGCUAAAUGCAUUUGUGCUAAGUUAUAACAUUUUAUAGACAACUUGUUGACUAUGAUUUGUCUUGUAGCUUACUCGCUUAUGUUAUUUUACCUACGCUUAGGAUGUUGAACGCGCACAGAGUCUC
rnacentral:rRNA from 1 species